rnacentral:rRNA from 1 species
UACGAAGGGGACUAGCGUUGUUCGGAAUCACUGGGCGUAAAGCGCACGUAGGCGGACCUGCAAGUCGGGGGUGAAAGCCCGAGGCUCAACCUCGGAACUGCCUUCGAUACUGCGGGUCUCGAGUCCGGGAGAGGUGAGUGGAAUUCCUAGUGUAGAGGGUGAAAUUCGUUAGAUAUUAGGAAGAACACCAGUGGCGGAAAGGCGGCUCACUGGCCCGGU